rnacentral:rRNA from 1 species
GACGAACGCUGGCGGCGUGCUUAACACAUGCAAGUCGAACGCUGAAGCUCAGCUUUUGUUGGGUGGAUGAGUGGCGAACGGGUGAGUAACACGUGAGUAACCUGCCUCCUUCUUUGGGAUAACGCCCGGAAACGGGUGCUAAUACUGGAUAUUCACUGGUCUUCGCCUGGGGGUUGGUGGAAAGGGUUUUUCUGGUGGGGGAUGGGCUCGCGGCCUAUCGGCUUGUUGGUGGGGUGAUGGCCUACCAAGGCUUUGACGGGUAGCCGGCCUGAGAGGGUGACCGGUCACAGUGGGACUGAGAUACGGCCCAGACUCCUACGGGGGGCAGCAGUGGGGAAUAUUGCACAAUGGGCGCAAGCCUGAUGCAGCGACGCCGCGUGAGGGAUUGAGGCCGUCGGGUUGUGAACCUCGUUCGCUCAUGGUCAAGCCGCAACAAUGGUUGUGGUGAGGGUAGUGGGUAAAGAAGCGCCGGCUAACUACGUG